AAAGAGAGGGCCAAUACGGAGAAGUCACUUUCGUUAGAUUUUUAAAUGACGCCAUUUUGUUUUACAUCAGAGUUAGAGAUUACAAUUUUUUUUUCUUCAAAUUUUUGACAAAAAAGUCAUCUAACAUGUUCAUGUAAUAACCAAGUAUAUGACUUGUACGUCUUCAUAGAUUACAACAAUACUUUCGCUUAUUCGGUAUUGUGUAAAAGCAAGUGUUUCCUGUCAGAAAAUCUGGCAGUUGUCAAGGAAUAUAAUGAGAAAAUAUAGAACUUCAGAUUAAUUAAAAGGAUGAGACUUAUCUUUAACAGACAUUUUGAUAGUGUGUUCUAUUUGUGCAAAGAUAAAUAGCGAUUCAAAUGCUGGAAAUUGGAUGAAUAAAUUGGCGAACAAGAGUGUCAGUUGUAAACUGCAAACAAUUUCGGAUAAGAAUUAAACGAAGCAUAGGGGUGUAUAAUGUGUGCUUGGUUGGUUGUAUUAUCUUGAUCAACACAUAUGUGUACAAUUUUGUGUCUCGUUGCCUACUGACUUUUAAAGCAGUUUUUAUCACAGUUAAAAUGAUACAAUAACUCACUAAAGAAAAUAAACAGGAAUUCAAAAAAUAAGACGAACAAAUGGAACAACAAAACUUAAAGCGGAGAGAAAACACUUGGGUGUUCCCGCAUUAUUACCUAAGUACGGAAAAGCAACAUAUUGUAGCAUGUUUAAGGAAUAGAUAAAAAUCACCAACAAAAUAUUACUUAUCUACAUAGCCAUUUUGUUGAUGUGUUCUGAAAUGAUAAGAGAGUAGUGUUGAGACGGCAACUAUUUCAAUUUGAAUUUGAUACCAGAGACUUGGAUAUGGUGCGAAUGUCUCUUGACACACAUUUUGCCUUCUAGCCAGUAAGAUCAUUUGCAUCUAGAAAAUGUAUUUCUUGUAUAGCGGUCACGUGGAAGGACAACAGGGACGCUGAGUUUACUUGAUUUUGAUUAACCGACAUACGAUCAUACUCGAAACUCAUGAUUUAUAUUUGUUUGAUUUCUUGAUGAAUGUUCCUGUAAAGGUACUAUCUGCAAUGUUUUAUUUACAGAGAAGCUCCUUAUAUUUGUUUGGUCUAGGAAAAUCUGUUCACCUCACAGAAAUAAGAGAUUGACUACAUUUCUGUGAAAAUGUAAGACAUUUGUUUUUUUUGCAAUUGUGCUAACUGAGAGAGAAACACUAAUUAAUCACUCAAUAAUAAAUCUUCCUGCAAGGUUACAAAGUGUUAGUAACGCAAUUGAGUUAGUGUAACUGUAUUUGAACGACGUUUAUAUGUAAAUAUUUACAUGAAAUGAAAAAUAAAUUUGACUUACGUAACAUACGCAAAUAGACGUACCACGAAAACAGACGAACAAAAUGUAGUACUUACAACUAGUUGUCUCAGAAGUAACAGAGUUAGUUAAAGGUUAAUAAUGACGUACGUACAAAACAUUAUUUUGACUUGAAUAUUCAUAAGAAGAUCCUUUGGAAGCACAGAACGAAACCGAACCAAAAAACAGGUUUGAUUGAUGUAAUGAAAUGUGAAAUACCUUUCCCUGGCACAGGCGUAGGCGGAACUCUAUUAUACAAAUGUUUUGAAUGGACUCAUUGGUUUAAAAUGAUCUGAAAAUAUGACGUCACAUCACUGAGUCCACAGAGAGAACACGCAUCAACCACGGCAUGCAAAAUACUGGAAUAGUUUUUAACAAAUCUGUUUCAGCUACCGGAACAACUGGUAUUAAUCCCAAACGUUUGAUGUCUUCAAGAACACGGGUGUUUAGUAAAACAUAGUGAAAUUACAUACUUGAAACCAGCACGACUGUCAAAGAAAAUUGAUUGGAUGAUCUUAAGAGAAUACUUUAGGAAAUAAGCUGGCAUUUUUCAAUGGAUUAAUAAUGCAAGAGAUAUUGUUUAUUGCAUUGCAUGCCAUUUUACGUUCUGCUGCGAUUUGCAGAGAUAUCUCUCUAGUCGUAUUUGUUAUUGUUUUGUUCUGACAAACAGCAUUCCGUAAUUGAUAUACUAGCAUUUAUGCUUUGAAAGGAAGCAUUUAUAGAAACAUAUUCACAGAAGAACAGACGAUAAUAGACUUCGCCAUCAUGACAUAAUUGAUAACAUAACAUGUUCAUUAUUGUAACAAUUUCUCCUUUAUUCUGAUUGCUAUUUAGUAAAGUUUUGAUGUCUGGUA